GUGCUCACUUUGGCAGCAUAUAUACUAAAAUUGGAAUGAUAGAGAUUAGCAUGGCCCCUGCACAAGGAUGACAUGCAAAUUUGUGAAGCAUUCUAUAUAUAU